UCGCCUGUUUAACAAAAACAUGUCUUUUUGAUUAUAAUUUAAAGUCUGGCCUGCCCUAUGNAUAAGUUAUUUUUAAAUGGCUGCGGUACUUUGACCGUGCAAAGGUAGCAUAAUAAUUAGUUUUUUAAUUGGGAACUGGUAUGAAAGGUCGCACGAGAAAAAGACUGUCUCAAUUUAAUUUUCAUUAGAAUUUUAUUUUUAAGUUAAAAAGCUUAAAUAUUUUUAAAAGACGAGAAGACCCUAUAGAGUUUUAUAUAAAUUAAUAUUUUUGAAAGUUAAAGAAUUUUAAAUUUAAUUAUAUUAAUUUAUAUUUGGUUGGGGCAAUUAAAAAAUUAAAAUAAUUUUUUUUAAAUUAAAACAUUAAUGUAUGAUUAAGUGAUCCAUUAUUUAUGAUUAAAAGAUUAAAUUACCUUAGGGAUAACAGCGUAAUUUUUUUUAGAGUUCUUAUCGAAAAAAAAGUUUGCGACCUCGAUGUUGGAUUAAAA
rnacentral:rRNA from 1 species